rnacentral:rRNA from 1 species
CAGCAGCAGCCACGGUAAUACGAAGGGGGCUAGCGUUGUUCGGAAUUACUGGGCGUAAAGGGCGCGUAGGCGGCCAUUCAAGUUAGAUGUGAAAGCCCUGGGCUCAACCUAGGAAUUGCAUUUGAUACUGUUUGGCUUGAGUUCGGGAGAGGUGAGUGGAAUUCCCAGUGUAGAGGUGAAAUUCGUAGAUAUUGGGAAGAACACCAGUGGCGAAGGCGGCUCACUGGACCGACACUGACGCUGAGGCGCAAAAGCGUGGGGAGCAAACAGGAUUAGAUACCCCGGUAGUCCCUGUCUCUUAUAC